CUCUUUCCUAGUUAAAUAGAUUUGCCUUUUGAAGAAAAUUAUGUGUGCACAGGAAGAGGAAUAAAUGUAGCCAAGCGGGAAGAGAAUUGUGGCAACUUUUAAGACAAAUCUUGUUCUCACUCAUCUUUUAUUUUACGGCAUCAGUGUCUGACUUUGAGCACAUCAUGUUUAAAUUGGUUUGGAAGCCGGCUGGAUCUGUCUCAGGCACCGCAGCUUCAAAGAGGUGCCUGUAACCAUCAGCCCGUGUUGUGGGAACCUUCCAGGAGUGAACGAACGGCAGGGGACUGGUAAAAUGUAAGGAUCAGCUCCAUGUGUAACUCUUACAGUUACACAUGGCACGACGUUCCCUGCCCUUCCUGUCCAGGUGCUUCUCAAAUGUAACUCAUUCACUGGCCACCUGCCUCUGUGGUCAUUUCCAUCUUUAAGUUUGAAACAAGUUUACUCUUUCCGACAAAAAUGAUGUCUGCUGUCCCGAGUCACUACCACAGGAAGGGAACCCCUUUCUCUUAAGCCCUGGUGGAUUACAGUUUCAAACAUAAUUGUGAGAGUUAACACAUUUAAUAUGAGAGCUGAGAGUGCCCAUGUCACAGAGAGUGCAGCUAUUUAAAUGAAACCCAGGUCCUUUAAGACAACGCCUGCUUCUCAGGUUAGGAGCGGACCAUCUCACAGGAGUGGGACACUGCAGGAAAGUCUGUAAAUGUCACUCAAUCAAAAGUGAUCACUGUUGUGCUUUGUGUCUGGUUGAUUCCCCUGGACGACAGUACCAGGAACUGCCUGCGUAACUCACGGUCACACUUGACAUGCUUAUGAGUUAUGAGGCCUGGCGGUGAAGUUGUACAGACCGAAGGACACAAUGAAUCAUUUCAGGCUCAUCAGCCACAGGUGUGCUCAGUGGUCCCACAGGCACUGUGGGGACUAUCCCCAAAUUCCAGGGAUUUACAUUCUCCGGGUUCUCUAGGUCUCCCAGGUGUCUCAGUCCCCUCCCAGGUCUCUUGGUUCCGUGAUGUGUGUUGAUCAACCCAAGAUUCUUGGUCUUCCAGGCCUUUUGGUCCCCCAGGUCUCCUGGUCCUCCUGGGUCUCUUAGUGCUUACUUGUCUCCUGGAUAAAGCAGAGGCAUACUAGAUACUGACACCCCCUCCUUCAGUCAUUGCCAAGGGUAGUGUGGACAACAAACCACACUGCCAGAUGAAGUCCUUCUCAGGUGAAGACCCAUCUUGCUCAUUUCCCAUCCAGCACAGGCUAUCGCCUGAGGUACCUCCCCGCAUGGGUAGCAACCAUCGGCCCCUGCAUAUUGCUUCACCUUGCCUGGAGCAACAGCAGCCCAGGCAGGUCAAGCUGCUUUUUGUCUCUGAGCUUUCUGGUCCAAGAAGCAGGUGUUCCCUGACAUCAUGGAAGUCCCAGGAACAGGCCACUCAGUUCCCUAUAAAGAGAGUGGGAUGGCAUUUCAGAUGCCACUAGUGCCCCUAGGAAGUGCAGAAUCUGGAGGGUGGCGUAGAGCACGCCUGCAGGACCGAGAGACAAGUGUAAGUCUGAAAUCAACCCUGCCGUACAGGGCAAAGUGCUGGGUUGGAAAACUGGCAUUUCACUGCGUUGAGGAUUAACACAGGACCUUCCGCAGGUGUGGUCAGCAUCAUUAAAGACAUACUGAAGAUGCUUUGAAGGUGCCCCCCCCCAAAGUCUUCCUUCACUGAGGUGACAGAUGAACAGAGUGAACCAAGUGUUAAAACAUGCAACCAUGAAACUUAGGGGGAAAAGACAAAGAAAUACCAUGAUUUGAUCUUGUAAAAUAGAAUCCCAUGAGGGAAAGAGUGAAAACUGAAAGGGGAAAGAAAUGGCGGCCGCUGCUGUCUAGGACGAAGUGCUGAUUUCAUGAGUAUUUAGUUCCUUACGAUUGUCUUAAAAUAAUAAUGACAUCAAAAACAUCCAAGAUCCCGACAGUGGUAGCAGGAGCUGGAGAGUUGCCUACGGGAAAACAGCCUGCACCUUUUGUUCGUGCCCCGCUCUUGAAGCCCAUUCUUAAAGGGCCUCCCAGGAUGCCCCAUGCACUCUAGCACAAUUGUUCUAUGUUUUCGGAUUAAAUUUUGCACUUUUAUUAAAUUAAAAAGUAGGGUUUUUUUUUUUUUUUGCGGGGGAGGGGAGAUUGUAGAAACAGCUCAGCAACUAAGAACACACUUGCUACUUUUCCAGAAGGUGAGAAUUAGGCUCCCAGAACCCAUGUUCUGUAGCUCACAACCACCUGUAACUCAAGGGAGUCAGACGCCCUCUUCUGACCUUUUGGGCAUCUGCAUGCUCGUGUGCAUACACACUACACACAUACACAAAACAAACAAAUAAAAUGAAUCUUUUAAAAAAGAAAGGGGCCACAUUCACACAGUCGGUCGCUGCUGUCAUUUUGUCUCAUCCUCUGACUGUAAGCCACUUACAGAAGGAGCCUCUCCACACGGCAGCAAAGUGUAGACAUCUCAGGAUCCAGGGGACUUGCUUUGCCAAAAACCAUGAAGGAGUUCCAGAGGGUGCCCUGCAAUGAAUCUCCACAUCUUCAUCAUAGACUUUUUAACAAUCAAAGUUCUUACUCAACGUCACUUGAACGUACACGUAUAUUCUCUCACACACUGUUUUAUAUAGAGGAAUUGGGUUUCUGAUAUUAAUUCUGCAUCUUCAAUUUUUUGCACAUAAUGAAAAUUAUUUCAAGUGAGCAAGCAAGUUGCAAACCCCUCCAGCAGCACAGACUUCAAUGUCCUCUCCCUAGCCUGUGGGCGUUGCUCAUGUAGGCCAAGAACUGACGCUUUGUGACAUGCAUGCUCCCCGGUGGGCUAUGUGUGUCUCCAUUUUCUUUAAGCUGUCUUUUGAAGGAGUGGCAGUUCCUAAUUUUACUUAAAUUUCUCAACUUUCCUUUGGAUUUUGGGUUUUUGUUUUGUUUAAACAUUUGUUUCCCUCUCCCUACCUGAAUUCUCAAGUAGUUAGUCCCACGUACCCUUUCUCUAUUUGGGGCUUACUGCACCUGUAUCAAAUCUUUGUGUCUGCAGCAUGAUGAUACAAAUUCACUUUUCUCUCCCCACUUCUGGAAGGUGGUUUUGAACAUGUGGCUUUGCCUUGUGUGACUUUGAGCCUCCCUGGCAUGUCAGGUCUGCACGGUUGCCCUGUCAACCUCUGUGUUCUCUUUCCUUCCCUAUGAUGAUGUCCUUGUUUACCAGAGGCCCAUACGUCGAGGUCUUAACUACUAGGCAUUUAAAGGAACCCUCACUGGCAAACCCCAUCAGCUCAUUCUACAAGAGACUCUUAGAUAACCAGGUAACUCUGUUUCUGGUACAAUUGGAACUAGUUUGACAAGUUUAAUGAGCCACCUUGUGAGGAUUGCCAUGAGUUUAGAAAUGUUGGACAUCUUCAAAGACACCGAGUUCCCUGCCCACAGACAUGGCACGUUUCCCCAUCUGCUUAGGAGAGUUUCAGCUUUCUUCAUACAAAAUCUUGUAAUGUUGCCUGUAGAGGUCUCGAGCAGAUUUGGUUAGAUUUCUUCUGAGCACUCUGCAUCCUUUGUUCCUUUUGUCAAUACUAUGUGUAUACAAAACUUUAUUUUUUCUUAAAUUGUUGUUGCUUGGGUAAAGAAAUAAAACACUCAGUGAUUUUGUUCAGCACUCUUACCAGUCCUCAUAUUUUGAACAUAUGAGGAGAUUUCUUUGGAGAUACUGUGGGGGAUACCAUUAUUCUUAUGUCUUCUUUUUCAAAUUCCUUUAUGUUCUUCAGCAAACCUCAUCUUACUCCCAGGCUAGAGCUACUAACAUUGUACAGUCUUCCUUUAAUCUACUCUUGUAUGUAUAUUCCUAUGUGUGUGCACACAGGUAUAUGAGGGGUGUGUGUGUGUGUGUGUGUGUGUGUGUGUGUGUGUGUGUGAACACAGGCAAGGGGUCCAUGUUGGGUGUCAUCAUCAAUCUCUUUCUACCUUACUCUCUGAGACAGAGUCCCCCACUGAACCUGGAGCUCCCAGAGUCAGCCAGCCUGGCUCUCCGGUGACCUGGAGCGAUCCUCCUGUCCACUUCUCCCGUGUUGGGAGGACAGGAACGUUUUGCUGCUCCUGGCUUUUACACAGGUUUUGGGAACCUGACUUCAAGUCCUCAUCUUCUGUGGCACAUCCUGGCUCAGCCACCAUUCCACUGCCCCUUUGUUCCCUUGUAAAGGAGAUGUUUAGACUCUGUGAUUUGGUAAAAUAUUUGUUUUAAGAUUUUCUUUUAGGUUCGGUUUAAAUAAAAAUUCUUCCAUCCAAAUAGACUAAUUUGUCUAGGAUAUAAAAGGAUAUAAAAGUUUAUAUCGACAUUUUUUUCACACUAGUGAGACAAUCUUUGGCUUUCUGGUUUAAUUUAAAACUAUAGUGAAUUAUGGCCAGGCGGUGGUGGUGCACGCCUUUAAUUCUGGCACUCGGGAGGCAGAGCUAGGCAGAUCUCUGUAAUUCGAGGCCAGCCUGGGCUACAGAGUGAGUUCCAGGAAAGACGCAAAGCUACACAGAGAAACCCUGUCUCAAAAAACAAAAAACAAACAAACAAAAAAAAUCAAACAAACUAUAGUGAAUUACAUUAACUGAUUUUUUAAAAAUAUUCACUGAAAUUUACAUUUUAGAAUAAAUCUAAUUUGGCCCUUCUUUAAUUUUGGGGUCCAUAGUUCAAAAGUCAGACACCGUGGCAAGGUAAGGACCCCUCAUCUGGGAUUUCUGGAAUCUACUCCGUAUCUGUGGUGGAGUGGGGUGGACAGGGGAGGAAGAGGCAGGGAGGGGGUUAGGGGAGGGGGUCAGCAUCUGUCUGCCUGCUGUAAGUCUGUAUGUCUUGAUCUGCAAGUAGCCUUUCUCACUCUCAGAAAGGCAGAUGGGUCUAAUGUACUCUUUUCUCUGAGCCUGGCUCCUAGAGUUUCUGACUACAUAAAAGUUCCAGUCAUUAUGAAACUGAAAAUAUGACCUUGUCACCUUCUUUUAUACCUUAUGGCAUGUGAUAGCCAGUAUUUCAUAGAACAUAGCAGAGGCAUUUUCCAGAAGAGAAAAAAAAUCAGAGGCUUUCAAAUCUUUGUGUGUGCAGGUAUGUAUGGAGGCCAGAGGCCAGCCUCGGGUCAGUUCUCAGGUGCCCUCAUGUUGUAGUUUUUUUUUGUUUGUUUUGUUUUGUUUUAAGAUAUCUCCAGUUGGCUUAGGAUUCACUGAUUAGAGUAGACUAGCUUCCCAGCAAGAUUCAGGGCCUCAUGGUUGCAAGGCAAUCACUUCUCCAACCAAAUUAUCACCCUACCCUUUAAGUAUUAGAAUUCAGUCUUUCAAUCUAGGCAAGUGUUUAUUAGCUAUUCCCUUUUACUUAGGAAGGACAUAAUACUUUAUGUAUGUCCUUCAAAUAGAAUUUGAUAUAGUGCUAAGCCACACUAAUAGGUAGCAACAUUAAAUAAAAUGUAUUUAACAAAGUUACUUUUAAAAAAGAAAGAAAGAAUCCUAAAAGGGCAAAUCACUUUCUCAACGCAUUGUAUAUGAAUGGAUGGUUUUUUGCAAAACAAAUUCCAUGUAAAUCAUCCUUCCUUUACAUUCAGAUGAAAGUCAUGUGACUUCCUGAAGGGAGAUGGCAGAGCCUGAUGUUGAGGGCUUCCUUGUGCUACUCACUUCUGUGUGGUCAAGACUGCCGCAGGAAUCCACACCAACCACAAGGGAGCUGUAACGUUGCCUGAACUCUGUACCACACCAGGUUCAAGACAGGAUCAGUAAAUGCUCCAUCCCACUUCAGCCUCUCCCACCUGCUCGGGAAGAAGGCCCAGGUCUUGUGUAUAGGUACAUCCAUGGAUAUGGCCCUGCCCUCUCUAGAGGCUUCAGUCAUGGUUUUCUCCAGCUACCUACCACCUGCCUGACUCAGCAACAGUGACCCCACAGCAAGCUCUCUCGCUGGGAGGUGAUGGCCUCCUGCUGGAGCCUGCGGCCCUCAGCCCUCUCGACACCACAGCGGAGUUCUCCAAGGUCCUGAACCCAGAAGCGCUUCUCCAGUCUUGGAGUUUAAGGAUCAUAGUUCAAGGAUCGGACGCUCUCCAGGAAUUGAAUAUCUGUACCCACACUUGCACCCACUUAACUGUGGGAGCUUCCUGAGCAAGGCAGGCAGAUUUGGGGUUCUGCUGGCCACCUGCCAUCCUGGAUCUGCCUGUGAGGGAUGCGCUUCCAGCCACCAUAGGGACCUCAUCUAAUGGCUGUGCCCUGUUCUGCAGGUGCACAGGACACUUGCGCGUCUUCAUUUUCCUGCAGUUAGGUAUCACUGCUUUUAGGAUUUAUUUUGAAGUCACAUACAGCAUCUGAGUGGAUGUGUUCUACACACUUUUUGCUUAUAUUUUACAUCAUUCCCACACAGAUUUCUACCCACAGGAGUGAUGAGGUACUGAACAGCAGAGAGUGUCCCAUACACUGCUGAAUGGCUUCCAAAAAGAUCCGUCCCAAUUGUGUGUGAGAAUGCCCCUCCCUUCACUCCUCUUCACUGCAAGGCUCGAAUAGUCACAGUCGUACCUUGUGACAUAGCGUAUACUUUUCUCUGGUUGAUGACAAAGUCAAGUGUUCUCAGCAGAGGAGCACCUGUAUAUCCUUUAUUCUCUACCUAUCCCAUUAGGUUUUUUUUUUUUAAAAAAAAAAAAGGUUUAUUUUUGUGUACAUGUGUGUGCCUGCGUGAAUUUAUGUGCAUUGUGUGUAUGCAGGUGCCCAUGGAGGCCAUAAGAGGGCGCUGAGUGCACUGGAACUGGAGUUAAACAGUUGUGCGUCUCAAUGUGGGUACCAAGCAUCAAAUUUGGGUCCUCUGCAAGAACAGCCUAUGCCUUUAACCACUGGGAAAUCCCUUCGGUCCAAUUCCUGCAGUUUUACAGACUUUUCUUGGGUUGCCCAAGCUUUUCACACAUGUUUAUUACCAUACCUUUAUUACCAUAUCACUUCAUGAUGCAUCUACUCUAGGUGUUUUCUGAAUUUAGGUGAAUUGUAAUUUGUUCCUUUCAUGUCUUAACCUAAGAAAGUAAAAAUUUCCUAGUGAAUGUGAAAAUUGUUCUCUAUUUUACAUUAACAUUUAUUCAGUGGUCCUGCAUACUUUGAGAUUUCUUAUAUAGUCAGACAUCAGAAUCACAUAUUUUCCUAUAACUUACUGUUUUUAUUCUUUAAUUCUCUUAUUUUGGUAAUUGAUAUAAAAAUCUAAGCUGUCUAUUCUCAUUAUACUAAUACUAAAUGUCAGUACCUAAUUGUAGCAUGAAUUGUUAGAAGGUCUUAUUAAUAAAAACAAACCUGGAGCCAGG